rnacentral:rRNA from 1 species
GCCAAUUGCGGGAGGCUAACAAUGCAAGUCGAACGGUAACAGGAAGAAGCUUGCUUCUUUGCUGACGAGUGGCGGACGGGUGAGUAAUGUCUGGGAAACUGCCUGAUGGAGGGGGAUAACUACUGGAAACGGUAGCUAAUACCGCAUAACGUCGCAAGACCAAAGAGGGGGACCUUCGGGCCUCUUGCCAUCGGAUGUGCCCAGAUGGGAUUAGCUAGUAGGUGGGGUAACGGCUCACCUAGGCGACGAUCCCUAGCUGGUCUGAGAGGAUGACCAGCCACACUGGAACUGAGACACGGUCCAGACUCCUACGGGAGGCAGCAGUGGGGAAUAUUGCACAAUGGGCGCAAGCCUGAUGCACCCAUGCCGCGUGUAUGAAGAAGGCCUUCGGGUUGUAAAGUACUUUCAGCGGGGAGGAAGGGAGUAAAGUUAAUACCUUUGCUCAUUGACGUUACCCGCAGAAGAAGCACCGGCUAACUCCGUGCCAGCAGCCGCGGUAAUACGGAGGGUGCAAGCGUUAAUCGGAAUUACUGGGCGUAAAGCGCACGCAGGCGGUUUGUUAAGUCAGAUGUGAAAUCCCCGGGCUCAACCUGGGAACUGCAUCUGAUACUGGCAAGCUUGAGUCUCGUAGAGGGGGGUAGAAUUCCAGGUGUAGCGGUGAAAUGCGUAGAGAUCUGGAGGAAUACCGGUGGCGAAGGCGGCCCCCUGGACGAAGACUGACGCUCAGGUGCGAAAGCGUGGGGAGCAAACAGGAUUAGAUACCCUGGUAGUCCACGCCGUAAACGAUGUCGACUUGGAGGUUGUGCCCUUGAGGCGUGGCUUCCGGAGCUAACGCGUUAAGUCGACCGCCUGGGGAGUACGGCCGCGAGGGUUAAAACUCAAAUGAAUUGACGGGGGCCCGCACCAGCGGUGGGAGCAUGUGGUUUUAAUUCUAUGCAACGCGAAGAAUCCUUACCUUGGUCUUGACAUCCACAGAACUUUUCAGAGAUUGAGAAGUGUCGCCCUUUCGGGCAGCUGAUGACGACAGGAUGCAGGCAUGGCUGAUCGUUCAUCUCGUCCUGCUGACAUGUUGAGGAUUUAGUUCCCACAACGAGCGACACCCAUUAUUCAUUUUGUUGGCUAGUUGUUCGAUGGGUCCUCGAAGUAUACUGACUAGUGCAUCAGCUUGAUGACGUGGGGAAUGACGUCGAGUCAUUCUGUCUUACGAUGCAGGCUCACUCGUGCUAGCAUUGUCGAUGCAAGAGGAGCGGACCUGACGCAGAAGCCCAGCGCGGAACUAUCA